rnacentral:rRNA from 1 species
GAUUAACGCUGGCGGCAGGCUUAACACAUGCAAGUCGAGCGGAGAUGAGGUGCUUGCACCUUAUCUUAGCGGCGGACGGGUGAGUAAUGCUUAGGAAUCUGCCUAUUAGUGGGGGACAACAUUCCGAAAGGAAUGCUAAUACCGCAUACGUCCUACGGGAGAAAGCAGGGGAUCUUCGGACCUUGCGCUAAUAGAUGAGCCUAAGUCGGAUUAGCUAGUUGGUGGGGUAAAGGCCUACCAAGGCGACGAUCUGUAGCGGGUCUGAGAGGAUGAUCCGCCACACUGGGACUGAGACACGGCCCAGACUCCUACGGGAGGCAGCAGUGGGGAAUAUUGGACAAUGGGGGAAACCCUGAUCCAGCCAUGCCGCGUGUGUGAAGAAGGCCUUAUGGUUGUAAAGCACUUUAAGCGAGGAGGAGGCUACUGAGACUAAUACUCUUGGAUAGUGGACGUUACUCGCAGAAUAAGCACCGGCUAACUCUGUGCCAGCAGCCGCGGUAA